rnacentral:rRNA from 1 species
AGGGACUCUAAGUGCUUAUGUUUUACAUAGGCUUUUGCCGAAGGUAAAUACUUCGGAGAAUAAGUGGUGGGUAAGACUGGUGCCAGCCGCCGCGGUAACCCCAGCGCCACAAGUGGGGAUCACGUUUAUUUGGUCUAAAGCGUUCGUAGCAGGUUUUGAAAAUCUCUUGUGAAUUUGUUGUGCCUAACAUAACAGACGGCAGGAGACACUCCAAAACUUGGGAUUGGGAGGCGUAUGCAGUAUUUUCGGGGGAGCGGUAAAAUGUUAUAAUCCCGAGAGGACUACCUGUGCCGAAGGGGGCAUACGAGAACAAAUCCGACUGUGAGGGACGAAAGCUAGGGGAGCAAAACGGAUUAGAUACCCGUGUAGUCCUAGCCGUAAACACUGCGAGCUAGAUAUGACAUAAACUUCGUGUUUGUGUCGUAUCGAAACGAAGGUGCAAGCUCGCCACCUGGGAAGUAUGGUCGCAAGGCUGAAACUUAAAGGAAUUGGCGGGGGAGCACUACAAGGGGUGCGGCGUGCGGUUUAAUUGAAUUCAACGCCGGAAAUCUCACCAGGAGCGACGGCAGGAAGAAGGUCAGUCUAAAGGGCUUGCCUGACGAGCCGAGAGGUAUUGCAUGGCCGCCGUCAGCUCGUGCCGUAAGGUGUCCUCUUAAGUGAGGUAACGAGCGAGACCUGUGUCUUUAAUUGAUAACGACACGUUAGUGGAUUGAUCACAUUAAAGAGACUGCCUUGGAAACAAGGAGGAAGGUGCAGGCAACGGUAGGUCCGUAUGGUCCGGAUCCCCUGGGCUACACGCGCGCAACAAUGGUAGGAACAAUGGGAUGCAAUUCCGAAAGGAGAAGCUAAGCCUCUAAAUCCUAUCCAAGUCCAAAUUGAGGUUUGUAACUCAACCUCAUGACGUCGGAAUCCCUAGUAAUCAGACUUUAGCAUAGUCUGGUGAACAUGUCCCUG